rfam:Physcomitrella patens subsp. patens PHYPAscaffold_6 genomic scaffold, whole genome shotgun sequence.
UUGCCUUAAACUAAUGAGUAAGGAAAACAAUGCGAGUGGUCGAUGCCAUUCGCAGCACUCCUAGAGUGCGACUCUAAUUUUUAGGGGGCGAUAGGCUAGCCAGGCGGUGACGCUGCUUACUUCGCAGAACUCGCCUGCGCAGGCCUCCUUC